rnacentral:rRNA from 1 species
UACGGGGGGAGCAAGCGUUGUUCGGAUUUACUGGGCGUAAAGGGCGCGUAGGCGGCCUCUGCAAGUCGACUGUGAAAUCUCCGGGCUUAACCCGGAAAGGUCAGCCGAUACUGCAGGGCUAGAGUGCAGAAGGGGCAACUGGAAUUCUCGGUGUAGCGGUGAAAUGCGUAGAGAUCGGGAAGAAUACCUGUGGCGAAGGCGGCCAGCGUGGGCCAGAUCCGACACUGAGGCGCGAAAGCGUGGGGAGCAACAGG